AUACCGUAUAACAAUCNAAACCGCAUGGUUUUGAUUUGAAAGGCGCUUUCGGGUGUCGCUGAUGGAUGGACCCGCGGUGCAUUAGCUAGUUGGUGAGGUAACGGCUCACCAAGGCCACGAUGCAUAGCCGACCUGAGAGGGUGAUCGGCCACAUUGGGACUGAGACACGGCCCAAACUCCUACGGGAGGCAGCAGUAGGGAAUCUUCGGCAAUGGACGAAAGUCUGACCGAGCAACGCCGCGUGAGUGAAGAAGGUUUUCGGAUCGUAAAACUCUGUUGUUAGAGAAGAACAAGGAUGAGAGUAACUGUUCAUCCCUUGACGGUAUCUAACCAGAAAGCCACGGCUAACUACGUGCCAGCAGCCGCGGUAAUACGUAGGUGGCAAGCGUUGUCCGGAUUUAUUGGGCGUAAAGCGAGCGCAGGCGGUUUCUUAAGUCUGAUGUGAAAGCCCCCGGCUCAACCGGGGAGGGUCAUUGGAAACUGGGAGACUUGAGUGCAGAAGAGGAGAGUGGAAUUCCAUGUGUAGCGGUGAAAUGCGUAGAUAUAUGGAGGAACACC
rnacentral:rRNA from 1 species